CAGCAGCCGCGGUAAACCGUAGGGGGCAAGCGUUAUCCGGAUUUACUGGGCGUAUAGAGCGUUGAGGCGGCUCUGUAAGUUGGGCGUGAAAACCCCGGGCCCAACCCGGGGAGGCCGUUCAAGACUGCAGGGCUUGAGGACAGCAGAGGAAGGUGGAAUUCCCGGU
rnacentral:rRNA from 1 species